rnacentral:lncRNA from 1 species
AAGGUGAGGAUUACUUCACAAUUUUAUGAAGUAAUAUAUAUUUUCAAAAAAACUAAUAAUACAGCAUAUAUAGUCAAUCAUAUUGGGUCUAUUUUAUGGAUGGCUGUAAUAGAUAUUAUUUUUUAAAUUAUCAGUUAUUUUAUUUUUUAAUUCCCAUGGAUAUAUUUAUUCUAAACUAAUUUAAUAAAUUUAAUUUAUAAAAGAGAAAAAGAGAGAGGGG